rnacentral:lncRNA from 1 species
AAAAAACAUGUCUAUGCCGACGCUUUUAUGUCGACACUUUUUAAAAGCAUCGUCAAUUUUCUCUAUUGUCAAAAUUUUACCGACACUAGGGUUUAGAGUCGCUAUAUAUAACGCGGGAAACAAAAAAAAAAAAGCGCUUACUAAUUAAACAAGCACUGAGAAUUUUGUAUUCCAAAAAAAAUGCGUUCGUAUAUGUAUUAAUAAGGCAGAUUACAGAUACUAAAGCUUCGGUUGAUUCGGGUAUAAAUAAGAACUAGUUAUUUUAGAAAUAAGUAUUAGUUGAUAUAUAAGUAGGAACUACAUUAAUUUUUCAUUUGAAUAAAAAUUGGAUUAUUUUUGAAAAGAAGAAAAAUAGCGUUCAAAUAAUUAGAGUGGAACAGUGAGAAUAAAAAUAAUUAUAGUUUUAAAAUAAUAAUAUUUUAUCUAAUUAAUUAAAAUAUUAAUUUGGUGGGAAUAUAGAUUAAACUAAACUAGAAAUUUAU